CUUCCCUUAGGUUUUAUUCAAAAUAAUUGAAAUCAGGCUCUCAAAGAGAUAUUAACACUUCCAUGUUCAGCAUUAUUCACAAAAGUCAAGAUAUGGAAACAACCUAAAUGUCGACUGACACAGAAACGGAUAAAGAAAAUGUGGUGUAUACAUCCAAUGGAGUGAUAUUCAACCUUACAAAGGAAGGAAUCCUGUCAUAUGCAACAUGGAUGAAUCUUGAGGACGAUGCUAAUAGAGAAAGAACAGUCAGACAGAGAUAAAUAUCACAUGAUCGCAUUUAUAUGAGACAUUAAUACAAAUAUGAAUUUUUUGGUUUUCUUGUCAAUUCAACAAGCUGCUCUUAUACUUCUGAGGGGAAAAUCAGAAAAAGCACCGCAUCUAUUAAAGUCAAGACAGGAGCAAAACAGAGGACAAAGAAAGGUUCUUAAAACUGCCUCAAUCCUACGCCAUGAUAUUCCUGGGUCCUGUACAGAACAGCCUGUAUUAGAUGUAUGAACCUUUUUCGGUAGAUAUCAACCAGAACAUUAAAGACUAUGACACAAAGAC